UACGGAGGGUGCGAGCGUUAAUCGGAAUAACUGGGCGUAAAGGGCACGCAGGCGGGCUUUUAAGUGAGAUGUGAAAGCCCCGAGCUUAACCUGGGAAUUGCAUUUCAAACUGGGUGUCUAGAGUACUGUAGGGGGGGGUAGAAUUCCAUGUGUAGCGGUGAAAUGCGUAGAGAUGUGGAGGAAUACCGAAGGCGAAGGCAGCCCCCUGGACAUAGACUGACGCUCAUGUGCGAAAGCGUGGGGAGCAAACAGG
rnacentral:rRNA from 1 species